rnacentral:rRNA from 1 species
CGAACGGGUGGAGUAACGCGUGAGGAACCUGCCUCAAAGAGGGGGACGAACAGUUGGAAACGACUGCUAAUACCGCAUAAGCCCACGGGUCGGCAUCGACCAGAGGGAAAAGGAGCAAUCCGCUUUGAGAUGGUCUCGCGUCCGAUUAGCUAGUUGGUGAGGUAAUGGCCCACCAAGGCGACGAUCGGUAGCCGGACCGAGAGGUUGAACGGCCACAUUGGGACUGAGACACGGCCCAGACUCCUACGGGAGGCAGCAUG